GGGUGUGGGUAAGGGUGUAGGUGGGGGUGUGUGGGUGAGGGUGUGGGUGGGGGGGGUGUGGGUGAGGGUGUGCAGGUGAGGGUGUGAGUGCCUGUCUGGCUCUCGACUUCAGGCCCAAGGAGGAUACUAAGGCUUCAGGCGGACACCCAGGCCUCACGUGGAUAUCAGGUCUUAGGUGAAACUCAGGCUCUGGGAAGUUUGGUUUAAAAGAAUGCUAAGAUCCAGUAAACCACUCUAACCAUGCUACUGUCAUCCCUGGAAGCAGCAGUGUCAUGUAAGGUGGGGUGGUACAUCAGAGAUGGGAGGGACAGAGGAGAGAGUUUAUAUGGAAUGAUUGUGGAUGUCUUUGGGAGUGUGUGUGCAUUUCCCCAGAAAACACACUCCCAUCUGCAAAGCACAACAUGAGGAUCAAUGUUCAAGAAAAAUUCCAUCACCACUGCACAGUUUGCAUAAAUCAACCCAUUCAUCCUCCACCACAGCUGUACCUGAAGAUAAGUUUAAUAUCCCCAGUCCUCAGAUGGACAUGCUGCAGAGUUGAAUUUCCCAAGCUCUUGGUCUUUUAAAU
rnacentral:lncRNA from 1 species